rnacentral:RNase_P_RNA from 1 species
UCAGACCACAGGGUAAUCGCUGGUGUAGAAAAUACAUCAGAGGAAAGUCCGGGUAGCACAGAGCAACGACAGUCGCUAACGGCGACCGGGGGAAACCCUAGGGAAAGUGCCACAGAAACGAAACUACCCAAGUCUUCGGACGAGGGAAAAGGUGAAAGGAGUGGGGUAAGAGCCCACAGCGACGCACGGUGACGUGCGGAGGAGGUAAACCCUGUCGGCUACAAGGGAGACUUGAUCACUGGCGGCUCGUCAGCAGGUCGAUUAAAACCCGCUAGAUCAUGUUGGCAACAGCGUGGCUAGAUAGAUGAUUGCCGCGGCGCGCUUUGGCGCGUCGACACAGAACCCGGCUUACGGCUGGUCUGACGCC